rnacentral:rRNA from 1 species
UACAGAGGGUGCGAGCGUUAAUCGGAAUUACUGGGCGUAAAGCGUGCGUAGACGGCUAUCUAAGUCGGGUGUGAAAGCCCCGGGCUCAACCUGGGAAUUGCAGUCGAGACUGAAUAGCUAGGGUACGGUAGAGGGAAGCGGAAUUUCCGGUGUAGCGGUGAAAUGCGUAGAUAUAGGAAGGAAUACCAGUGGCGAAGGCGGCCUCCUGGAUCGAUACUGACGCUGAGGCGCGAAAGCGUGGGGAGCAAACAGG